rnacentral:rRNA from 1 species
GCAAGUCGAACGCAGAUGUAAAUCUGAGUGGCGGACGGGUGAGUAACGCGUGAGAAUCUGCCUCAAGGAGGGGAACAACAGUUGGAAACGACUGCUAAUGCCCCAUAUGCUGAGAAGUGAAAUAGAGUAAUCUGCCUUGAGAGGAGCUCGCGUCUGAUUAGUUUGUUGGUGGGGUAAAGGCCUACCAAGGCGACGAUCCGUAGCUGGUCUGAGAGGACGAUC